rnacentral:misc_RNA from 1 species
CCGAGUGCCGGGCGCAAGCCCGUCUUCGCACACCCUCUGUCGACUCUCCGCAGUUGCUUCGGCGGCGUGCCCUCGCGGGCCCCGCCGGAGGACCAACCCAAACGCAUGGCAAACCGGUCUGUCCGAGGCUAUACGCGAAAUCAGUCA